GGGGCUGUAGCUCAGUUUGGGAGAGCGCGUGACUGGCAGUCACGAGGUCGUGGGUUCGAUCCCCAUCAGCUCCACCA
rnacentral:tRNA from 1 species